GCUGGGCCGGUUCGGUCCGGUUUUCUUCUUUUCUUUUUCUGUUUUUCUCAAAUCUUUGAUAUCUUUUGAUUUUGAACUCCAAAAUGGUCCAAAUAAAAUCCAGAAUUUUUUUAAAAUCAUGUUCUAUCAAGAUACAACUUUUGGGAGUAGUUUUCCCUCAAAAUAAAAUAUACAAAAAUAUAUUUGCCCUAUAAAUGCCUUUAGGGCUAUAUAUCUAUUGAAUAAAACUUACUUUUUCCAACUCCAAAUAAUUAACCAAAAAUUAUGGG
rnacentral:lncRNA from 1 species